GUCGAACGAUGAUGCCCAGCUUGCUGGGUGGAUUAGUGGCGAACGGGUGAGUAACACGUGAGUAACCUGCCCCUGACUCUGGGAUAAGCGUUGGAAACGACGUCUAAUACUGGAUAUGAUCACUGGCCGCAUGGUCUGGUGGUGGAAAGAUUUUUUGGUUGGGGAUGGACUCGCGGCCUAUCAGCUUGUUGGUGAGGUAAUGGCUCACCAAGGCGACGACGGGUAGCCGGCCUGAGAGGGUGACCGGCCACACUGGGACUGAGACACGGCCCAGACUCCUACGGGAGGCAGCAGUGGGGAAUAUUGCACAAUGGGCGAAAGCCUGAUGCAGCAACGCCGCGUGAGGGAUGACGGCCUUCGGGUUGUAAACCUCUUUUAGUAGGGAAGAAGCGAAAGUGACGGUACCUGCAGAAAAAGCACCGGCUAACUACGUGCCAGCAGCCGCGGUAAUACGUAGGGUGCAAGCGUUGUCCGGAAUUAUUGGGCGUAAAGAGCUCGUAGGCGGUUUGUCGCGUCUGCUGUGAAAUCCCGAGGCUCAACCUCGGGCUUGCAGUGGGUACGGGCAGACUAGAGUGCGGUAGGGGAGAUUGGAAUUCCUGGUGUAGCGGUGGAAUGCGCAGAUAUCAGGAGGAACACCGAUGGCGAAGGCAGAUCUCUGGGCCGUAACUGACGCUGAGGAGCGAAAGCAUGGGGAGCGAACAGGAUUAGAUACCCUGGUAGUCCAUGCCGUAAACGUUGGGCGCUAGAUGUAGGGACCUUUCCACGGUUUCUGUGUCGUAGCUAACGCAUUAAGCGCCCCGCCUGGGGAGUACGGCCGCAAGGCUAAAACUCAAAGGAAUUGACGGGGGCCCGCACAAGCGGCGGAGCAUGCGGAUUAAUUCGAUGCAACGCGAAGAACCUUACCAAGGCUUGACAUACACCGGAAACGGCCAGAGAUGGUCGCCCCCUUGUGGUCGGUGUACAGGUGGUGCAUGGUUGUCGUCAGCUCGUGUCGUGAGAUG
rnacentral:rRNA from 1 species